CAAUCGGCCCUUCUCAGGGCCAUACACUUUGUACAUACUGAUGUA
rfam:Trachymyrmex cornetzi contig24763, whole genome shotgun sequence.